rnacentral:lncRNA from 1 species
UACAAACCUCUGUCUCCAAUUCCUUGUGCUACCUGAUCGUUUGUACUGGAACUUUGAUUCUGAUUCCCGCAUAGAUCUUUGGUACUGUUUCAUCUUCACCCACGAACGCCCGGCACUGUCGUACCUAGGUAGCCUAGAACUAUUUUUAAAAUGGAUUCCAAAAUUUGUGACAAAGACCAAGUCAAGUAUAUAAAAACGUUUUAAAAUAAUAGCGAAUAUUUGACCAGAGGAUCACGAGCAGGACUUGAUUGUUAGAUUGCAUUUCUGAACCUGAAGCCACAUGGAUUACAAAGAAUGCACAUAACGAAUCACGAUGAACUACUGUGAAAAAAACUCUGGUCAACUAUUUCAAAUUAGAGGAGAAGAGGGAGAGAGAGAAGAGAAACAAAAGUGACUAUGAAAAAACAAGUUUUUCUUGGGCAGUAGCGAAUAGAAGUUAUUCAAAUUGUUUAUACCUAAGCAAGAAAGUUUUUUCUAAUUUUUCUUGUUGUUGAAAAUAAAGUUGUUGGGGAUAAACAAACUUAGGGUGGGUGGUAGGCGCAAAAUCUUGGUCCAAUGCUAAUUAAAUGCAUUUUUUGAAUCCUUGGAAAACUAAUAAAUGUUUUUGAAAAAUUUAAACGCAGAAUGAAAGAUUACAUACCCAGGGGCGAAAGCCCCUUAGAAUAAACAAAAAGUUUCUAUUGAAUGAAAUAUUUGAAAUUAAAAAUCACUCCAAAUUUUCUCUUUUGUUUUUUCACUCCCGUAACUUGUUAAAAUAUACGUUAAAGAAGUUUUCAGGGCCUUAGGCCCUCGGUAAUGUAAUCUUUCAAUCUGCGUUUAAAUUUUUGAAAAAUACUUAUUAGUUUUCUCGGGAUUCGAAAAAAAUUAAUGGACUUAAAUAGCAUUGGACCAAAAUUUUGCGCCUAAAGAGGAAGUUUGUUAAUUUAGGUCACAUUGUGUGAGAAUCUUAUUUAACCAGGUAUUUAAUAUUUAUUUGUCCUAUAUAAUUAUUAAUGAACAUGGCCUGUGCAAAUAUUGUGAAUCCCCAACAAACAAUAAUUAGUAUUUUUCCAUUAUAUAAAAAAUAAUCAUAAGGAAAAAUAAAAUCAUUAGUUGAAAAUAAUCAAUAGUUAAGUAAUUUUUUAUAAAGUAGGUAAGUAUAUACGAAUAUGACAAAUUUCCAUAAAAAAACAAAAUGUUUUGAACUAUUUGUAAUAAGUACAGAUAAAUUUAUGUGACUAAAAAAUGGUUCAUACAGUUGAUCUUAAAAAUAUUGAACACUUACAAAUAAACUAUGCUAAGAACUUGUUACAUGA